AUUGAACGCUGGCGGCAGGCUUAACACAUGCAAGUCGAGCGGAGAUGAGGUGCUUGCACCUUAUCUUAGCGGCGGAUGGGUGAGUAAUGCUUAGGAAUCUGCCUAUUAGUGGGGGACAACAUUCCGAAAGGAAUGCUAAUACCGCAUACGUCCUACGGGAGAAAGCAGGGGAUCUUCGGACCUUGCGCUAAUAGAUGAGCCUAAGUCGGAUUAGCUAGUUGGUGGGGUAAAGGCCUACCAAGGCGACGAUCUGUAGCGGGUCUGAGCGGAUGAUCCGCCACACUGGGACGGAGACACGGACCAGACUCCUACGGGCGGCAGCAGUGGGGAAGAUUGGACAAUGGGGGGAACCCUGAUCCAGCCAUGCCGCGUGUGUGAGGAAGGCCUUAUGGUUGUAAAGCACUUUAAGCGAGGAGGAGGCUACUGAGACUAAUACUCUUGGAUAGUGGACGUUACUCGCAGAAUAAGCACCGGCUAACUCUGUGCCAGCCGCCGCCGUAA
rnacentral:rRNA from 1 species